rnacentral:lncRNA from 1 species
ACUUCCUUCCUUGACAAUAUUCUUCUUCGAUUUCUCAAUACAAAAAAACAUCUUCUUCAUUCGACCUUCAGCUUCUUCUUCCGCCAUUGUAGACACACAACAAACUCAUUCUUCACUUUCGCAUUGACAGCAGAUUUCAUAAGGUAUUUGGGUAUAGGGUGUGAUUAUUUCAAUUUGUUAUAUGAUUUACAAUUCUUAUAUAAAUUACUAACAUGAGUGAAUAACCAGUCGAAUUUAUAUUUACAAUUUUGUGUUUGGUGUUAAUUUUAAAUUGGGAACAAGGUUUUAUUAUGUGGGAAUCAACAACAGUCGAAUGAAGAACAAUGUUUUAUUAUCUUCUUCGAUUUAAAAUUGAGAAUUAGGUUUUAGUAUCUGUGUUUGGUGUUAAUUUCAAAUUGGGAACAAGGUUUUAUCCGUGUGAAAUACAUAAAAUUUCUUUCUGUGUGUGGGUGUUAAUAUGAACGAAGCAUGGAGAUGUGCAGCUUGUUUGUGUAGAAACUGAAGCAUGAUAGUGAGUUGUUUAUGGUUGCUGUUGUCUUAUGUUGUGUUAUAUAUUGACAGAUUUCAAAAUGGAAAGCUACAGAGAUGUUGAUGUUCAUUCGACUGAAACUGAUUCAUCUGAUGCAUCUUUAGAAACUGAUGUCGAACAUAAUAGUAGUGAAAAUAGUGAGGAUGGAGAUGGUUAUGUUGUAUCGUCUGCAG